ensembl:lncRNA
AUGGGUCACCUUGGAAAAUCUGGGGUGAUGUCUCUUUUGGUCCAUUUCUGUAGAGGAACUCAUCACUCCUUGGUGUCUUUCUUGCAGGUUCUACUCCUGGGUCAGAGAUGCCGCCACCUGGAUGGCAAUCCAUUGGAACUACCAUACCUACAGUAUGCUCUUGGACUUAAACUCUCCUUGGGCGGAACAGCAUGGAAGUUUUUUGUGUGUCUCGCAUCCAUGAAAUACAGCCAGACCAACACUAAACCAUCCUACACACCUAGAAGACUGAUUGGAGGAUUAACACAACAAUCUGCACAACCUGAACCACAGAAUUCAGCAGGUACGUGGCGGGGAGGGGUGAAUUUGGGGGAGCGAGAAGGCGCAGGAGGGAGAUGCUUUUGCGAGCGGAGAGAGGACAGAGACUGGGGGUGGGGGUGGAGAAUACGGGAAAAGAACCCCUCCCAAAAGCAGCUGGAGAGAAAAUGGAAAAUUGGAAAUAGCCGCAGGGACUAAACUAAAAAGGGAGAAAGGAGAAAGGAGAAGGUUUAAAAAGGGAGAAAGGAGAAAGGAGAAGGAGACUGUAAACAAGGCAAGCGCAGAGUCUGCAACUCCGCAGCUCCAUACCUGGUGGUGCUCUGGUGGGAAGGGCGAAUGCUGAGGAACAGAGGAGGUCCAGGAGGUUCUCGGGCCACACGGGGAAAAGCAGUUCCACUGCUGGAAGGACAUUUGGCAGAGACUACUGAAGCCACCUGGUCCCAGCAGACCCCGGAAAACAGCCACUUUCACUGGUGCUGGAACAAGGUUGUUAAGGGUGAAGCCUGGUGACAGAUGUGUGUUGUGAUUUUCCAUAAUCCCUGAAACGCUGCUGCUACACUGUCACGCGAUCUUUUUCUGGGGUGGACUGGCACCCGGCCACAGUCUCGGGGCACCGGCAGCAGCAGGGUCCAGCGGGCAUUCCUGGGUGCAGCUGACAUUUGGCCAUUGCUCAUUCAGCCAUUGCUUGGUGAGACCCUCCCACAGAAGGGCCAAAUGGGUCAAAGCCGCAGUCCUUCAGAAGUAAGGGGCCGGGGAAAACAGCCGGAUCUGAGAUAAAACUCAGGAGAGAGGUACUGCCCGGGGCCUGGUCACGGAGAGUGAAAAAGCAGGGAGUGGACGAGAGCUGAAGACGGAGGACAGGUGUGCGAUUGCUGAUCCCGGAGAACAGACUGGGUGGCUGGGUAACGCCAUUUUUCACUGCUCCCGCGCAUGCGCAUGCGCACCCACGAGCACCGCAACGAUUCACCCCAGUAGAGCAGCGCCAUCUAGUGGAGAGCAGACCCGUUACACUGAGCCCUGCCCAGCUGGGCAACUUCGUUUAGGGACUAUAAAGUGCUACAUAGACUGACUUCUAGGGGAAAACGAAGUAAUUUAAGUCCUACUUCAAUCUGUUAUCAGGUCCAUGUAUUCAAUUUUCUUUCAUUUUUUUUUCACUUUUACACUUCUUUUC